CCGCCGCCGGUCCUCCUCCUCCCCGGAUCCGCCGCCGGUGCCUGCUUCUUGCUCCGCUCCGCUUCUGUGCCUCUUGCUCCGCGAUUGAGAUCAACGGGGCAUGGCGGAUCAAAUAGGCCACAGACCCCACCGUCCUCCCCAAGGGUAAAGUCCAAGCUAAAUCAAUGGCUCCCUGGCUCGGAGGGCCAUCAAGGACCUGAUGGCUCGUGACCUGUGACGAGUAUCUCCAUGUGGCUGAAACAUUUCAGAGAUUUUGCGAAUUAGUUCAGUACUAUUGUUUGUAAGCUGAAUGUUCAGAGAUUUUAUGGAUUUUGUUCAGAUUCUGAAUGCUGGAAUGUUUGUAAGCUGAAUGAAAUACUUCUGUAUGCUGGAUGUGUGGUACUACUAUGGUUAUUUUAGGUGUAUGAAAUACUGCUUCUUCGCUGUCAAAAUAACUAUGAUUAUGUUGGAAAUUAUGAUGCUGUGGUUAUUGGA